rnacentral:rRNA from 1 species
UACGUAGGGGGCAAGCGUUGUCCGGAUUUAUUGGGCGUAAAGAGCGUGUAGGCGGCCUUACAGGUCAGCUGUGAAAUCUCGAGGCUCAACUUCGAGCUGUCGGUGGAAACUGUCUGGCUAGAGUCCGGAAGAGGAGAAUGGAAUUCCUGGUGUAGCGGUGAAAUGCGCAGAUAUCAGGAAGAACACCCGUGGCGAAGGCGGUUCUCUGGGACGGUACUGACGCUGAGACGCGAAAGCGUGGGGAGCGAACAGG